CCAAUAUACAUGCUUUAUGUAUUUUACAGAUAUAUAUUAUCUUAAAGAGCUGAACGGCAUCAUCUUGAUUGUUUGAAUCUAUAGAACAACUUGUGAACUUCAUCAUCUAGCCACCAAGGGAUCAAGGAUUGAUGUUGAAUCAUGGUGAAGAGAAGAAGAAAUGAUACGUAUUCUUUUAGAAGAAAGAGACAGAAUGAUCAACCUCAAACUACAGGAGUUGCUGAGUUGCUGCUAUUGGCAUUGCUAGAGCAAGUAACCAAAGAGUCCUCUCCAUGAGCUCAGUGAUGCAAAAGGAAUAAUUGAGUUCAACAACGGUGACCUAGAACUAAUGAAGAUGGGAUUGGUGGUGCUUAAUAUGUUUAAAGCAUCGACUCCCUGCAGACCCACAAGCACAGCGGUGAUGAAGAAGAAUAAUAACAACUGAACUAACACCACAUGGACUACUGUGUGUGGGGGGGAAGGAGCUAGAACAUGGAUUUCAAAUGUUGAAGAGUUGAAGAUCCCUUUUCAAAUGCUCAAUAUUCAUAUACACUACCUUAAAUGGUUCCUGAGCUGCUAAAUGGCAGUAACAAUAAAGUCUCAGAAAAGUCUUCUUUUUUUGUUGACAUGACCCAUUUCUCCAUAACCGGUUGCUACAAUUUAGAUGUGAAGAAUCAGGUUGAGAUUAGUGCUGGAUAUCCAUAAUAUUUAGAAGCAGUAGACUGAACGGAGUUAAAGAUGAAGAGAAAGAAUAAGGGUUCAAAUGAUCUUUCCACAAAGAGCUCAGAUCUUUUUAUACUUGAGGGAUUUGUUAUUUAACUAGAGUCCAGCCAAAAGAAGUGCAAUGUACUAGCAGGGGCAUCUCACCAGUAGAUUGCGAGCUGCCUUCUGUCAUUAUUUAAAUUAAAACUAAUGUAUGCUUACAGCUGGCGAUAUAUAUAUAUAUAUAUAU